rnacentral:rRNA from 3 species
GGUCAAGCUACAAAGGGCGCAUGGUGAAUGCCUUGGCAUCAGGAGCCGAUGAAGGACGUGAUAAGCUGCGAUAAGCUUCGGGUAGGCGCACAUAGCCUGAGAUCCGAAGAUCUCCGAAUGAGGAAACUCACAUGGGAAACCCCAUGUAUCAUUAAGUGAAUACAUAGCUUAAUGAAGGUAACCCAGGGAACUGAAACAUCUAAGUACCUGGAGGAAGAGAAAGAAAAAUCGAUUUUCUUAGUAGCGGCGAGCGAAAGGGAAAGAGCCCAAACCGGAAACUUGUUUCCGGGGUUGUGGACAUAACAUAAAAGUGGAGGCUAUUGUAACUGAAGAGAACUGGAAAGUUCCACCGUAGAAGGUAAUAGUCCUGUAAGUGAAACGAGAAGACCACGAGUUAUGAUCCAGAGUACCACGAGACACGUGAAACCUUGUGGGAAGCAGGGAGGACCACCUCCCAAGGCUAAAUACUACCUGAUGACCGAUAGUGAAGCAGUACCGUGAGGGAAAGGUGAAAAGAACCCCGGGAGGGGAGUGAAAUAGAACCUGAAACCGUGUGCCUACAACCGCUCAGAGCCCCUUAUGAGGGUGAUGAGGUGCUUUUUGUAGAACGAGCCAACGAGUUACGGUAUGUAGCAAGGUUAAGUACUUAAGGUACGGAGCCGAAGGGAAACCGAGUCUGAAUAGGGCGACUAGUUGCAUGCCGUAGACCCGAAACCGGGUGACCUAUCCAUGGCCAGGUUGAAGCGAGGGUAAAACCUCGUGGAGGACCGAACCACGUUGCUGUUGAAAAAGCAUGGGAUGAGCUGUGGAUAGCGGAGAAAUUCCAAUCGAACCCGGAGAUAGCUGGUUCUCUCCGAAAUAGCUUUAGGGCUAGCGUCGAGUAUGAGUAGUGGAGGUAGAGCACUGAAUGGGCUAGGGGGCAUAGCGCUUACCGAACCUUAUCAAACUCCGAAUGCCACAUACUUUGAGCUCGGCAGUCAGACUACGAAUGAUAAGAUCCGUGGUCAAAAGGGAAACAGCCCAGAUCGUCAGCUAAGGUCCCAAAGUGUAAGUUAAGUGGGAAAGGAUGUGAGAUUUCUAAGACAACUAGGAUGUUGGCUUAGAAGCAGCCAUUCAUUAAAAGAGUGCGUAAUAGCUCACUAGUCGAGAGAUCUUGCGCCGAAAAUGUAACGGGGCUAAACUUACCACCGAAGCUACGGGCUUGAACUUAGUUCAAGCGGUAGGAGAGCGUCGUAACCGGGCUGAAGUCGUACCGUAAGGAGCGGUGGACUGGUUACGAGUGAGAAUGUUGGCAUCAGUAGCGAGAUGUGGGUGAGAAUCCCACAGGCCGAAAACCUAAGGUUUCCUCAGGAAGGUUCGUCCGCUGAGGGUUAGUCGGGACCUAAGCCGAGGCCGAAAGGCGUAGGUGAUGGACAACUGGUUGAUAUUCCAGUACCACUACCAUCGUUAUUAUCGAUGGCGUGACGCAGGAGGAUAGUGUGUGCUAGCUAUUGGAUGCUAGUCUAAGCGUUUAGGCAGUGAGAGUAGGCAAAUCCGCUCUCAUAAUGCUGAGGCGUGAUGGGGAAGGUUCCACGGAACCGAAGUACAUGAUUCCACGCUGCCAAGAAAAGCGUCUAGAGAGAGAAGUAGUGCCCGUACCGCAAACCGACACAGGUAGGUGAGGAGAGAAUCCUAAGGCCGGCGGAAGAAUUACAGUUAAGGAACUCGGCAAAUUGACCCCGUAAGUUCGCGAGAAGGGGUGCCUACGAGAGUAGGCCGCAGAGAAUAGGCCCAAGCAACUGUUUAGCAAAAACACAGGUCUCUGCUAAAGCGUAAGCUGAUGUAUAGGGGCUGACGCCUGCCCGGUGCUGGAAGGUUAAGGGGAACACUUAGCGCAAGCGAAGGUGUGAACUUAAGCCCCAGUAAACGGCGGCCGUAACUAUAACGGUCCUAAGGUAGCGAAAUUCCUUGUCAGGUAAGUUCUGACCCGCACGAAUGGCGUAAUGACUUGGGCACUGUCUCAACUGUAAAUCCGGCGAAGUUGUAGUGCGAGUGAAGAUGCUCGCUACCCGCGAUUGGACGGAAAGACCCCGUAGAGCUUUACUGUAGCUUAGCAUUGAGUUUUGGUAUUGUCUGUACAGGAUAGGUGGGAGACUAGGAAACCAGGGCGUCAGCCUUGGUGGAGUCAACCUUGGGAUACCACCCUGACAGUACUGAAAUUCUAACUGGCGGCCAUGAAUCUGGUCACAGGACAUUGUUAGGUGGGCAGUUUGACUGGGGCGGUCGCCUCCUAAAAAGUAACGGAGGCGCCCAAAGGUUCCCUCAGAACGGUCGGAAAUCGUUCGAAGAGUGCAAAGGCAGAAGGGAGCCUGACUGCGACACCCACAAGUGGAGCAGGGACGAAAGUCGGGCUUAGUGAUCCGGUGGUACCUCGUGGGAGGGCCAUCGCUCAACGGAUAAAAGCUACCUCGGGGAUAACAGGCUGAUCUCCCCCAAGAGUCCACAUCGACGGGGAGGUUUGGCACCUCGAUGUCGGCUCGUCGCAUCCUGGGGCUGAAGUAGGUCCCAAGGGUUGGGCUGUUCGCCCAUUAAAGCGGCACGCGAGCUGGGUUCAGAACGUCGUGAGACAGUUCGGUCCCUAUCCGUCGCGGGCGUAGGAAAUUUGAGAGGAGCUGUCCUUAGUACGAGAGGACCGGGAUGGACUGACCUCUGGUGUACCAGUUGUUCCGCCAGGAGCACAGCUGGGUAGCUAAGUCGGGAAUGGAUAAACGCUGAAAGCAUCUAAGCGUGAAGCCAACCUCAAGAUGAGAUUUCCCAUAGCGUAAGCUAGUAAGAUCCCUUGAAGAACACAAGGUUGAUAGGUCGGGGGUGUAAGCAUGGUAACAUGUUCAGCUGACCGAUACUAAUAGAUCGAGGGCUUGACCAA